rfam:Schistosoma mattheei strain Denwood, Zambia genome assembly, scaffold: SMTD_contig0001957
AUCCAGCUGAAGAGUCUCAAGUAGGACGACACACGUGUCCUGCAU